rnacentral:rRNA from 1 species
UACGAAGGGGGCUAGCGUUGCUCGGAAUCACUGGGCGUAAAGGGUGCGUAGGCGGGUCUUUAAGUCAGGGGUGGAAAUCCUGGAGCUCAACUCCAGAACUGCCUUUGAUACUGAGGAUCUUGAGUUCGGGAGAGGUGAGUGGAACUGCGAGUGUAGAGGUGAAAUUCGUAGAUAUUCGCAAGAACACCAGUGGCGAAGGCGGCUCACUGGCCCGAUACUGACGCUGAGGCACGAAAGCGUGGGGGAGCAA